AGUGAACGCUGGCGGUAGGCCUAACACAUGCAAGUCGAACGGCAGCACAGUAAGAGCUUGCUCUUACGGGUGGCGAGUGGCGGACGGGUGAGGAAUACAUCGGAAUCUACUUUUUCGUGGGGGAUAACGUAGGGAAACUUACGCUAAUACCGCAUACGACCUACGGGUGAAAGCAGGGGAUCUUCGGACCUUGCGCGAUUGAAUUAGCCGAUGUCGGAUUAGCUAGUUGGCGGGGUAAAGGCCCACCAAGGCGACGAUCCGUAGCUGGUCUGAGCGGAUGAUCAGCCACACUGGAACGGAGACACGGUCCAGACUCCUAAGGGGGGCAGCAGUGGGGAAUAUUGGACAACGGGCGCAAGCCUGAUCCAGCCAUACCGCGGGGGUGAAGAAGGCCCUCGGGUUGGAAAGCCCGUUUGUUGGGAAAGAAAAGCAGCAGGUUAAUACCCCGCUGUUCUGACGGUACCCAAAGAAUAAGCACCGGCUAACUUCGUGC
rnacentral:rRNA from 1 species